UUAUAUUUUAGUGUAAAAUGCACAAUAAUUUUUGAAAUUAUUAGGUAUAGUUUAAUUCUAUAAAAUAUAAU
rnacentral:tRNA from 1 species